GAGGGAUAUAGCAAAAUUGGGAUAUUAAUGCAUUGCUGGUAGAGCUAUGAAUUGAUUUAACCAAUCUGAAAGUCAAUUUGGAAUUAUGCCCAAAGGGUUUUAAAAGAAUGCAUGCCUUUUGAUCCAGCAAUAUCACUACUAUGUAUGUAUUCCAAAGAGAUAAAAAAAAAUGGGAAAGGACCUGUUUGCAUAAAAAUAUUCAUAGCUGUGCUUUUUGUGGUGGCAAAGAAUUGAAAACUAAAGGGAUGUCCUUCAGUUGUGGAAUGACUGAACAAAUUGUGGUAUAUGAUGGUAAUCGAGUGAUUCAGUAUCUCUGCUUGCAAAAGAGCCUUAUCAGACCCAGAAUUUUCAGCCUAAUUCUCUGAUUUCAACUCGAAUUGGUUAUCUACUCUGCCAAAUCCCUCCAACUCUUCUCUUGUCCAGGAAGGGUAUCUCCAGUGCUUCCAAGAAGUCAUUAUAUGAUGAAUUUAAGUCAUUUCCAAUUUGAUCCUUUUCAGCACACCAGAUUGUCUUAGUUCCUCUGCAAAUUAUUGAACACAAUACUUGAGUUGCAACCUAAUCAAAGCAAAGUUUUGCAGAACUACAACUGCUUUCGUUAUUAUGUUGCUAAUAAUAUCCUUUAAGUUUGCAUUCCCUCUCUCUAUGUCUCUCUCUCUGUUUCUUUGUCUCUGUCUCUUCUGUUAUAUCAUGUUGCUAAAUUUUUAAGGGAUUAGGUUCUUCAGGCCUCUUUUCACACAAACCAUUGUCCAUCCACAGUGGUUCAAUCCACUCAUUUUGUCCUGGGGAAUUGCUCUUGGAAACAAAGUCUAGGCCAUCAAGUCUAUCGCUUGGUCCAUUUCAUCCAUAUUUGGAGGGAUAUUAACCUAGACCAUCUACUUGGAGCUAUUUCUCCUGGCUUUGUGCCAUUUAAAAGUUAGGUGUACAGGUCAUCCACUCUUUGAUACCUAGGUGAAUGUGGAUAUGAUUAAUUAAGUUACUGCUGCUAGUGGACCAGAUUGUAACCCAUCUAUCUUUUC
rnacentral:lncRNA from 1 species